rnacentral:rRNA from 1 species
CCUACGGGUGGCAGCAGUGGGGAAUAUUGGACAAUGGGGGCAACCCUGAUCCAGCCAUGCCGCGUGUGUGAAGAAGGCCCUCGGGUUGUAAAGCACUUUCAGUGAGGAAGAACGCCUGGUGGUUAAUACCCAUCAGGAAAGACAUCACUCACAGAAGAAGCACCGGCUAACUCCGUGCCAGCAGCCGCGGUAAUACGGAGGGUGCGAGCGUUAAUCGGAAUUACUGGGCGUAAAGCGCGCGUAGGUGGCUUGAUAAGCCGGUUGUGAAAGCCCCGGGCUCAACCUGGGAACGGCAUCCGGAACUGGCAAGCUAGAGUGCAGGAGAGGAAGGUGGAAUUCCCGGUGUAGCGGUGAAAUGCGUAGAGAUCGGGAGGAAUACCAGUGGCGAAGGCGGCCUUCUGGACUGACACUGACACUGAGGUGCGAAAGCGUGGGUAGCAAACAGGAUUAGAUACCCGAGUAGUC